rnacentral:rRNA from 1 species
CUACCUUUAGUGGGGAACGAACAGUUGGAAACGACUGCUAAUACCGCAUAAGCUGUGCAAACAGGAAAGAUGGCCUCUGAAUAUGCUGUCGCUAAAAGAUGAGCCCGCGUCUGAUUAGCUAGUUGGUGGGGUAAAGGCCUACCAAGGCGACGAUCAGUAGCCGGCCUGAGAGGGUGAACGGCCACACUGGGACUGAGACACGGCCCAGACUCCUACGGGAGGCAGCAGUGGGGAAUAUUGCGCAAUGGGGGAAACCCUGACGCAGCGACGCCGCGUGAGCGAAAGAAGGCCUUAGGGUUGUAAAGCUCUGUUUUAGGGGGACGAAUGUCACGAUCAGUAAUAUGGGUUGUGAAUGGCGGUACCCUAAGAGGAAGCCCCGGCUAACUACGUGCCAGCAGCAGC